rnacentral:rRNA from 1 species
AUGUUUUCGUCCCAGUCUCUGUCCCGCGUCAACAAUAUCUGUGUUGCCCUCACCAACGCGCAGAAGGGGACACAGCCUGUGGCGAGCUUCUUCAGGCACAUGCACUCACUUUCAGAUGAGCUCGCGGCUGCUGGCAAGCCGCUCGGAGAUGGUGAACUCGUCUCCUACAUCAUCGCCGCCCUAGACAUGGAGUACCAUCCCCUCGUCUCUGUGCUUGAUGCCCGCACCACGCCCAUCUCGCUCGACGAUCUGUUCACCAUGAUCAGCAACUUUGACCAGCGGGUUGCCCUCUACCAAGGGGGCCACUCUGGCGGCAGCUUCAAAUCCUCCACCAACGCGGCCAUGCGCGGUCGUGGUGGCGGUUCACGUCAUCGCGGCAACAACCACCGUGGCAACAAUGAUGGCGGCGGCCGGCCCUCCUCCAACAACAACCAGGGCCACCGCAACAACUCCAAUCACUCGCGCCCUGAUGCAGUCAAGUGUCAGAUCUGUGGCAAACUUGGCCACUCGGCCAAGGAUGUUGGAAAUAUGCCCUAG